rnacentral:lncRNA from 1 species
CCAAAGGCUACUCCAGAGGAACAACAUGACUGCCUUUGAUGUGACCCCUUCAGGAGAAACAUGUGCCAACUAGAACUCUUGGUGCUGAAAAAUAGAGACAAACCAGCCCAUAAGGAUGGAGAAACUUGCGAGGAGCUCCGGGAUCCUCACCCUGCUCCUCUGGAUCUCCAUCCCAGGCAUGAGCUCUGUCCCUGGGCAUAACAGCACGCAGGAGACCCCCCACCAGCCCUCCUGCCAGCCAGGUUCUUAUUGCCCCAGGGGGGGUCGGGGGCCGUUGCCCUGCCCCAGAGGCACGUUUACUCCAGAGGGGGGGGGCACUUCAGCGGAGCACUGUGUGAGCUGCCCCCCCCACCACUAUGGCCCCCGUGAGGGGAUGAGGGUGUGUGUGCCGUGUGGUCCAGGGGCACGCCAGCCCCUCCCCGGGCAGGAGAGGUGUGUGUGUCAGGGAGAGGGACAGACCUUCCAGCCCAGUGAUGGGCAGUGCCUGUGUACACUGGGGUUUGAGCGCAGUAGGCAAGGCCCUGUGUGCGAGCAGAAGGUGUAUGACAUCUGCAGAGACGGAUUCACACGCACCCAGCAUGGAGACUGCAUGGAUGCACCACAGUGGAGGACACACUGCUCCCAGCAGGUGUGUGAUACCCCUGAGGAGUACCAGGACUACGAUGCGCUUCUGGGUGUGUGUGUGUGCGCGGGGCGGCCAGAGAGAGUGGGUGUGUGUGGGGCCUGGUGUCGGAGCAGGAGGAACACCCCACCAUCACUGCGCUGUGCUGGAGGCCAGAUGGUGCUGUUGUACAGGGGCAGCCAGGUGAGUGUGUCGGGGAGUGUGCUGGAGAUGGCGCUGAACCGCUGGGACUCUCGUGGGGACCUGCAGUGUGACGCGUGGCGUGACUUCUCCUGCUCCGUGUAUGCAGUACAGACAGACGAGGCUGGCUUCUUUGGCCUGUUCAGCGCCAUGCUUCCUGAGGUCCACAUGCUGGUUCUGGAGGCCGUGCCCGAGGCCCACAACACGUCCUCAGAGGCACCUGACACACCUGGAGGUGGGAGUCAGCCAGCUUACCCAGAUUCCACAUCUUCAGUCUUGUCAUCUCUGAGACCACAUCUUCAGUCUUCUCCUCUUACAGAUUCCACAUCUUCAGUCUUGUCAUCUCUGAGACCACAUCUUCACGCCUCUCUCUUUCUGUGAUUCGGAUCUUCCUUCAAUUCUCAAACCUGAUUGGUGAGCCUGUGGGGGGGUUAGUGGAGGAGCGGGAGCUGCUGUGGUCUCGAGGGGGGGGGCACCUCUGGAGGAAGCACAGUAACGCCAGCACUCUGGGGGUGCUGAACCCCACCUCCUGCCUCCAGCUGGGAGACAUCCUGCUCUUCACUGUCAGCAGGGAGCACUUCCCCCAGUACGACAUGUGAGUCUCUACCCCAGUACGACAUGUGAGUCACUACCCCCAGUACGACAUGGUACGAAUUGGAUUGAGAGAGAGAGAGAGAGAGAGAGAGAGAGAGAGAGAGAGAGAGAGAGAGAGAGAGAGAGAGAGAGAGAGAGAGAGAGAGAGAGAGAGAGAGAGAGAGAGAGAGAGAGAGAGAGGGAGAGAGAACUGAGUACUGAGUACUGGAUCUGUUCUUCACAAUCCUGUUUCUCCCCCUGUUCAGAGACAGCCUGUUCAACACCAAUACUGCCUUUGACUGGGGAUCCUUCCGGAAGCUUGCCCAGGACC